CUAUUAAGACCUUUUGUCAUCCGGAUUAAGACGUUGUCUCGAUCACACGUACUUAAUUAUUUUCCUAAAUCAUUUUCUUUGUGUGCUGAAUUAGGCCCAGUUUUAUUUUUUACUUCUUGUGAUCUACCCUGCAUACAAAUUAAAUGAGAGGCCCAAAAAGUACCCAUCGACAAGAACAGAUCGAUCGCAACUCCAUUCGUCGCCCCCUUCGUUGUCCUCCGCGCUGCUUCUCCAACUCCAUCCUUCAACGCCCGGCUGCCCCUUCCUUCACCGCCAUUUCCUGCAACUACUGCCCGGCUCCAAUGCAUCAAGCCGGAGCCGCCACCUCCGCCCUUCUCCCAGGACGCUCUCCCCACGAUGCCAUGGCCGCUCCUUUCCCGCGAUUGGAGAGCAGAGUGAGAGGACGACCGGACGAGCGACGAGUCGUUCCCUGAAUCGAGCAACCAGUGACCCCUCGCUUUGGAAGAUGGGCCUGCAUGAUUUUAAUUUGGGCUUCCGAUUUUGCCCUCCAUCGUACUACUGCUCUGUUUUGCUCCUCUUAGUUUUACCAACAGUAUAAAUUUAUAUAUAGUCGCUUGUUUUUUAAGAAAUGAGGCUUAAAUAUCAAUCGAUAUUUCAGAACCAUUGGAUUAAGAUCUGAGAGUCAUCCACACUCUCUCAUCUCUCAUUUGCUGUCGUUGGAUCAAAAUCCGAUGACUAACAUGU